rnacentral:tRNA from 1 species
GGUUCCUUAGCUCAGUUGGUAGAGCAACGCUUUUACAAGGCGAAGGUCGUGGGUUCAAGUCCCUCAGGAACUA